rnacentral:pre_miRNA from 1 species
AUCACCUGGGGAACUUGUUAAAAUGCGAAUUCUGAUUCAGUAGGUCAAGGUGGGGCCUGAGACUCUGCAUUUCUAACAAACGCCCAGGUGGUGCUGC